CCUACGGGAGGCAGCAGUGGGGAAUAUUGCACAAUGGGGGAAACCCUGAUGCAGCCAUGCCGCGUGUGUGAAGAAGGCCUUCGGGUUGUAAAGCACUUUCAGUUGUGAGGAAAAGUUAGUAGUUAAUACCUGCUAGCCGUGACGUUAACAACAGAAGAAGCACCGGCUAACUCCGUGCCAGCAGCCGCGGUAAUACGGAGGGUGCGAGCGUUAAUCGGAAUUACUGGGCGUAAAGCGCACGCAGGCGGUUUGUUAAGCUAGAUGUGAAAGCCCCGGGCUCAACCUGGGACGGUCAUUUAGAACUGGCAGACUAGAGUCUUGGAGAGGGGAGUGGAAUUCCAGGUGUAGCGGUGAAAUGCGUAGAUAUCUGGAGGAACAUCAGUGGCGAAGGCGACUCCCUGGCCAAAGACUGACGCUCAUGUGCGAAAGUGUGGGUAGCGA
rnacentral:rRNA from 1 species